ACGCGUGAGGAACCUGCCUUUCAGAGGGGGACAACAGUUGGAAACGACUGCUAAUACCGCAUGACACAUUGGGGUCGCAUGGCCCUGAUGUCAAAGAUUUAUCGCUGAAAGAUGGCCUCGCGUCUGAUUAGCUAGUUGGUGAGGUAACGGCCCACCAAGGCGACGAUCAGUAGCCGGACUGAGAGGUUGAACGGCCACAUUGGGACUGAGGUACGGCCCAGACUCCUACGGGAGGCAGCAGUGGGGAAUAUUGGGCAAUGGGCGCAAGCCUGACCCAGCAACGCCGCGUGAAGGAAGAAGGCUUUCGGGUUGUAAACUUCUUUUGUCAGGGACGAGUAGAAGACGGUACCUGACGAAUAAGCCACGGCUAACUACGUGCCAGCAGCCGCGGUAAUACGUAGGUGGCAAGCGUUGUCCGGAUUUACUGGGUGUAAAGGGCGUGUAGCCGGGAGGGCAAGUCAGAUGUGAAAUCCACGGGCUUAACUCGUGAACUGCAUUUGAAACUGUUCUUCUUGAGUAUCGGAGAGGCAAUCGGAAUUCCUAGUGUAGCGGUGAGAUGCGUAGAUAUUAGGAGGAACACCAGUGGCGAAGGCGGAUUGCUGGACGACAACUGACGGUGAGGCG
rnacentral:rRNA from 1 species